rnacentral:rRNA from 1 species
UACGUAGGGGGCGAGCGUUGUCCGGAUUUAUUGGGCGUAAAGAGCGUGUAGGCGGCCAGGUAGGUCUGCUGUGAAAACUCGAGGCUCAACCUCGAGACGUCGGCGGAAACCAUCUGGCUAGAGUCCGGAAGAGGAGAGCGGAAUUCCAGGUGUAGCGGUGAAAUGCGUAGAUAUCUGGAGGAACACCGGUGGCGAAGGCGGCAUCCCGGACCAAUUCUGACGCUGAGUGAGCGAAAGCCAGGGGAGCAAACGGG